GACGAACGCUGGCGGCGUGCUUAACACAUGCAAGUCGAGCGGAGCGGCGAACGGGUGAGUAACGCGUGAGUAACUGCCCCCCUCUCUGGGAUAACAGUUGGAAACCGCUGCUAAUACCGGAUAGUGGGGUAUGACUGGCGUCCUAUGUACUUGUUGGUGGGGUAGUGGCCUACCAAGGUGACGACGGUUAGCCGGCCUGAGAGGGCGACCGGCGACCUUGGGCUUAGAUACGGCCCAAACUCCUACGGGAGGCAGCAGUGGGAAAUAUUGCACAAUAGUGUAAACCGUGUUGCAGCAACGCGCGUGCGGGAUGACGGCGUUCGGGUUGUAAACCGCUUUCAGCCAUGACGCGGUAGUGGCAGAAGAAGCACCGGCUAACUACGUGCCAGCCGCCGCGGUAAUUC
rnacentral:rRNA from 1 species